GAUGAACGCUGGCGGCGUGCCUAAUACAUGCAAGUCGAGCGAACGGACGAGAAGCUUGCUUUUCUUAUGUUAGCGGCUGACGGGUGAGUAACACGUGUAUAACCUACCUAUAAUACUUGUAUAACUUCGGGAAACCGGAGCUAAUACCGGAUAAUAUUUUGAACCGCAUUGUUCAAUAGUGAAAGACGGUCUUGCUGUCACUUAUAGAUUGAUCCGCGCUGCAUUAGAUAGUUGGUAAGGUAACGGCUUACCAAGGCAACGAUGCAUAGCCGACCUGAGAGGGUGAUAGGACAAACGGGAAGUGAGACAGGGAAAAGAGACCUAAGGGAGGCAGCAGUAGGGAAGAUGACGAAAUGGGCGAAAGCCUGACGGAGCAAAGGCGAGUGAGUGAUGAAGGUCUUAGGAUGGUAAAACUCUGUUAUGAGGGAAGAAAAAAUGUGUAAGUAACUGUGAACAUAGUGACGGUAACUAAUAAGAAAGCAACGGCUAACUACGUG
rnacentral:rRNA from 1 species